GUUUGUUUGCAGUAUUUUAAUACAGCAUUAAACUGUCAUAACACUAAAGACAAGGUAAUACUAUCCAGCAAUUAAGGCACAUGUCGGAAUGCCAUUUUAUGGACAAUCCACAGCAGAAUUUCGACAGUCUUUUCCGCAACCUUUUUUAUAUACUCAGUUGUCACUUUGGUGGCUGAGCUAAGCCUGUCUUCUCUGAGGCCCAUGUCCAUAGAAAAGUUAUUAUUUUCUUCAUUAAAAAAAAAAGCUGUACAAGUUAAUGACCAGUUAAAGAAGAGAAAAAUUAUACAACUGAGAACUCAAAUGAGUACAGCUAGAAUUUGUUUUUCUUUUAAGUAAGUAAUUAAACGAAUUGAAAUUGGCAGAAAUUAAUAUAAUGACAACAUUAGUUUCAUAUAUUGUAGUUUGCUGCUCUAAAUAACUUUUGUAAGAGACAUUAAGAGCUCAGUGCAGGUAUGAGCUCGCUUUAAACAGGGUUUAAAACAAAUAAUCUUAAUAUAACAGAACUAUGGGAAACCAUAAAGAAUAAGAUGCAUAUAAUAUACAUGAGUCUAGCAUGCAUAUUGUAUCACGUUAUGCAUUCUAAAUAAUAAUAAUCACAAAAUGCUUAUAUCACUGCAACCCUUUCUCAGUUACAGCCGAUGACCACGUGCAUUGCUUUAAUGCCAGUGUUAUUGCUUUCCAGACCUCAAUGAUAUGUUUCUUCAACAGUUUUCAGCAUCGCUGGAUAGGGCAAAACUUACCCUGCUCACCUCUAAGAUGCAGUAUAAAAAAAUAAACACAUCCAACCAUACUAUGGUAUUUAUGAAACAGCAACUCUUUGGAUCAUUUCACACUUUACACAAAAAGACACUCGGAGUUCUCCAAGAGAGAGAGAGAGAGUGCAUGCCACAAAGAAUGGUGCUAAACUGUCCAGCAGACCAAUCUGGUUCAUGUAUGUGCUUUUUAUUUUCUGAAAUAUGAUCCUUCAGCUAUGGAAUUUGUUGGAAUUCAUUGUUGGAAUGUAUGUCUAUGCAACAACUAAAGUAGUAUGCAGCCAGUAGAUGGCAGUGUUUAUAAGUUUGGAUCUAUGCUAUAUUUUCUAUGCUCUAAGUAAGUUUCCUAUUUCCUGAUGCAGUUGAGCAGUUAAGCAGUAAAGCACAUGGUGACAGUGCUUUACUACUCUGUGGUGCUAUAUAUGAACAAAAUUUCUAACAGAAAUGAAGAUUUUGUUUUUGUUUUUAACAGAAAGAUCUCAGGUGUGCGUUUAAGUGGAAUGUGUGAAAAAUAUCCAAAGAGCAUUUGUGCUUCAGUUUUUAUCGAUGCACUAGAGUUUCUGCUGACAAUGGGCAGAUGUGGCAGUCAUUAGGCCCAGCCCAAAUGUAUGUCUUAGGUCUGAAUUGUUAGUGUGUUUCUCUCAAGGCCAUUAAGUGGAAAAAAGUAACUCCAAAACCUGAUUCUUACAAAAUCAGUCCUAGCUUUUCUAAAAAGGCAAUAAUACUUUCCAUAAUACACAUAUAAAUAAGUUGAAUAAGCAUAUGAAUAUAAGUUCUAAACACCCAAAUAAUACACUGGUUACUUAAUACUGAUAUUUUCAUCCAAAUAUAAGCAGUAAGAAGAACAAUAUGGCUUAAAAGAAUGGUAAGGCUUCAUUUUCUUGUCAGAAUUAUGUAUCAACUUUCAUAUAAUAUUCUAUGUAGACAAUAUUUCCUUCUUAAUGUAGCUCGGUUGCAUAUUUUAUACAGACAAAGGCACUGUAAAAAAGAAAAAGAAAAAAAAUAACAAAUUCCUUCCAUAAAUAUUUUCUUGAGGAUACACCCUUAAUUUUGUAUAAUACUUAAGAAAACUCUUAGCUCGGUUAGUAUCAUAGUAUAGAAAACUAAGACCCUUUCUGGAAGCUUCAGAGUUGUAAAAACACUUUUAAAAAGCCUCGAGCAAAACUAACAAUAGUAAUUUUAAAAGACCCUCAAAUAUAUACAGAAAGGUUACUGCAAAGUCUUCCAAUAACAAUUCAGUAUUACAAAGAAAUAUUUGUAACCAUUCAAAAAUUUUAAACAUCUAAAAAGUUCUCCAAAAUACACACACACACAGUAUUAAAAAAAAUGGAGAGGAACACUAUGUCAAGUAUAACUCAAGAUAAAUACACUUCAGCAAGUAAAACUGUAAAAUAUUUCAUAACAAGGGAGAGUAAACAUUAAUAUCCAUGGACUACAUGUAUUAACUGCACACGAUUGUCCCUUUGACAAUUAUCCUAAGAAAACACAAGCCUUCAUUUUGUUCAGUUACCCUAAUAGGCUCAAUCAGUGCUACAAUCACACAGAAAUAUUUCUAGAGGCAGUGGUUUUUUGCAGACGUGAAAGGAAAGAGCACUGAAAUUUUAGCUAGGUAUAAAGUCAUGUCUUACAACAGCGGCCCCUAACCCUUUGGGGCACCAGGGACCAGUUCCGUGGAGAGAGGUUUUCCCGUGGACCAGAGGUGACACAGUUUUGCGUGCUGCCCAGAGGUGGUAUUCAGCUGGUUCGGACCGGUUCUGGCGUACCGGUAGUGGAAAUUUUGAGUCGUUUGGAGAACCGGCAAAUACCACCUCUGGCUGGCCUCGCCCACCUGCCCCCACUGUUACCUCUCCUAAAUUGCCUUGUUUUUUAGCUCAGCUGAUUGGCAGAGUGGAUUGCCGCACCUCAGCUGAGCUGAAAACAGCACAGCUCACCAGCAUUGAUAUAGAGGGCGGUCUUUGAGCUCUGCAUGCUCUCAGAACUGGUAGGAAAAAAAUUUGGAAACCCCCCACAGAUGGGGCUUCACUUGUUUGCAUUGCCUGGUUUCUGGCAUGCUGCGGCCCAGGCCAGGUUCGCAUCCCCCGGGGGUCGGGGACCCCUAUCUUACAAGACGAUGUGGCAUGAAGCAUUCUUAGAAGGCCGAAUUAGAAUCUACUCUCUGUUGAAUUGCAGUAUCGCAAGGCUGAUAGAGGAAUUCAAUAUAAGGCAUGUAGGACAUCACUGCCCCACUCAUCCAUGCAGGUCAUUUGCAGCCCCUGAAUGAAAAUCUUCACAAUUCAGUUUAAAACCAACCCUUUUAGAGGCAAUCUCAACAGAUACUCAAAAAUCAUACCGUACACAAUUGGUUUGUUUCAUCAAUAGCACUGCUAUUAAUUCUUGCUAUCGAUUCUUUUCUCAGCUGGCUUUAAAGUCAGGGUGUUUCCUGGAUUCUGUCUGCCACUAACCUUAAUCAAAUUGCAGAAUACUCUCCAGAAGAUAUCUUUUGAGCAUAAGGUAUUAAACCUACAUGAAAUGGCUUGGGCUGGGAUCUCCUGCUUGAGCAGGGGUUGGGCUAGAAGGCCUCCACAGUCCCUUCCAAAUUCGUUAUUCUGUUAAGAUAAUUAAGAACAACUGCCAGCUAUUUAAAAUGAAUUGUGCUCCGCUGGCCUUCAUUUUUAA